GGGGAAUUUUCCGCAAUGGGCGAAAGCCUGACGGAGCAAGACCGCGUGAGGGAAGAAGGCCCUUGGGUUGUAAACCUCUUUUCUCAAGGAAGAAGAAAGUGACGGUACUUGAGGAAUAAGCAUCGGCUAACUCCGUGCCAGCAGCCGCGGUAAGACGGAGGAUGCAAGCGUUAUCCGGAAUUAUUGGGCGUAAAGGGUCCGCAGGUGGUUUCUCAAGUCGGCAGUCAAAGACCGGAGCUUAACUUCGGAAAGGCUGUGGAAACUGAGAGACUAGAGAGAGGUAGGGGUAAGGGGAAUUCCCGGUGUAGCGGUGAAAUGCGUAGAGCUCGGGAAGAACACCGGUGGCGAAAGCGCCUUACUGGACCUCAUCUGACACUCAGGGACGAAAGCUAGGGGAGCGAAAGGGAUUAGAUACCCCUGUAGUC
rnacentral:rRNA from 1 species